rnacentral:sRNA from 1 species
UAAAAUUGAACAAAAAAA